rnacentral:rRNA from 1 species
UACAGAGGGUGCGAGCGUUGUUCGGAAUUAUUGGGCGUAAAGGGCGCGUAGGCGGUGCGGUAAGUCACCUGUGAAAUCUCCUGGCUCAACCGGGAGCUUGCAGGCGAAACUGCCGUGCUGGAGUGUGGGAGAGGUGCGUGGAAUUCCUGGUGUAGCGGUGAAAUGCGUAGAUAUCAGGAGGAACACCUGUGGCGAAAGCGGCGCACUGGACCACAACUGACGCUGAGGCGCGAAAGCUAGGGGAGCAAACAGG